rnacentral:rRNA from 1 species
GCAAGUCGCCGAGCAGCACAGUGUAGCAAUACAUGGGUGGCGACCGGCAAACGGGUGCGGAACACGUACACAACCUACCUUUAAGNGGGGAAUAACCCNGAGAAAUUCGGANUAAUACCCCAUAGUAACUAAUUGUGGCAUCACUUUUAGUUUAAAACUACNGUGCUUAGAGAUGGGUGUGCGUCUGAUUANGUAAUUGGAGAGGUAACGGCUCACCAANCCAACGAUCAGUAGCUGAUGUGAGAACAUGAUCAGCCACACGGGCACUGAGACACGGGCCCGACUCCUACGGGAGGCAGCAGUAAGGAAUAUUGGACAAUGGACGCAAGUCUGAUCCAGCCAUGCCGCGUGAAGGAUUAAGGUCCUCUGGAUUGUAAACUUCUUUUAUAGGGGAAGAAANGCANAGAUUCUUCUUUAUCUGACG